UGCCAGCUUGUCAACAUCACAGUACCAUGACAAGACAUGGGUUGUGGAAUAUCAGUUUAGAAGCUAAAUACUGUGUUUCUAUUUGCUAGAGACUGUUUUAAUCUAGAGACUGUGUUUCUAUUGGCUAGAAACCGUGGUAUGCCAGUUUAGACUGUGGAUCUAUUGUUGUGCUUGCCCUGAGACCUUGGAUUGGCUGUGGCCAUUUGAUGACAGGAGAGGAGAGCUGAGAGGAGAGAGAGAGAGACUACAGUGUUUCUGUCUGGUCCACAUCACACUGCCCUGAGACUGAUGAUGCUGCUGCCUACUGUACUGUGGAGACAUAACUGCUACAUGACUUAAAUGUAAAUGUCUGGUAUAGAAAUGGGGAGGUUUUAAACUGCCAUUUAAACCUCUUUACUGAAACAACAAGAGGGAUGUUUUCUAGAAGAUGGGGAGGUUUUAACUGUCAUUUAAACCUCUUUACUGAAACAACAAGAGGGAUGUUUUAACUGUCAUUUAAAUCUCUUUACUGAAACAACAAGAGGGAUGUUUUCUAGAAGAUGGGGAGGUUUUUAACUGUCAUUUAAAUCUCUUUACUGAAACAACAAGAGGGGGAGGUUUUAACUGUCAUUUAAAUCUCUUUACUGAAACAACAAGAGGGAUGUUUUCUAGAAGAUGGGGAGGUUUUUAACUGUCAUUUAAAAUCUCUUUACUGAAACAACAAGAGGGGGAGGUUUUAACUGUCAUUUAAAUCUCUUUACUGAAACAAGAGGGAUGUUUUCUAGAAGAUGAGGUUUUAAACUGUCAUUUAAACCUCUUUACUGAAACUAGAGGGAUGUUUUAACUGUCAUUUAAAUCUCUUUACUGAAACAACAAGAGGGGGAGGUUUUAACUGUCAUUUAAAUCUCUUUACUGAAACAACAAGAGGGAUGUUUUCUAGAAGAUGAGGAGGUUUUUAACUGUCAUUUAAAUCUCUUUACUGAAACAACAAGAGGGGGAGGUUUUAACUGUCAUUUAAAACUCUUUACUGAAACAAGAGGGAUGUUUUCUAGAAGAUGGGGAGGUUUUAACUGUCAUUUAAACCUCUUUACUGAAACAACAAGAUGGGGAGGUUUUAACUGUCAUUUAAAUCUCUUUACUGAAACAAGAGAAGAUGUUCUAAACUGUCAUUUGUUUACCAGGCUAUAUAAUUGCAUUAGUUGCAAUCGAGUGUUGAGACAUGAACGGUGCAUGUUGUAAAUGUGCAUAUCAGAUUAGGCACUUCCUGUGUCUCCAGGUGAUGACAUCAGACCUACAGACAGCACAGUUCUGAUGUCACAGGGAGAGGGGUGAAGUCCAGUUUACCUCCAUCUAUAUGGGACCUCUGGACAGUAAGGAAAGGGAAUAACUGGAAAAAUAUCAAAUCAAAUCCUCACUCUGGCUCAGCAUUAUCAAGGUACAUUAUUAUUGAGGUACAUUAUCGAACAGUUGAGUGUUUACUAAAUAGGGAUCAUUACAUGAUCUUGAAUGUUGGUGCAGCAGCUACUGAGUUAAGAGUUAGGGCUACUGUACUGGCCUUCCGUCUCCAGCUCAUCUGUCUCUGUCCAUCUGUCUCUGUCCAU